AUGCCAGACAACCUGUAUGACAUGUUGGUGACUGAAUUUCCAACUCAGAAGAAGGAUAAGCAAGUUGCCCUUGAUAAUUUUGAAGUAAAUGAUGUGGUGAAUAAGGUGAGUAACGAAUUCCAUAAACUUGUUGAUGAGAUUUUUAUUGUUAAGAAAUUAUGUGGAAAAGUAAAGAAGCUUCCCAAGAACUCUCCAUUUGUUCCUUUUCCUUAUGAAGAAAAUACAAUCAAAUGA